AGAGUUUGAUCCUGGCUCAGAACGAACGUAGCGGCGCGCUUAACACAUGCAAGUCGUGCGAGAAAGGGGCAACCCCGGUAAAGCGGCGCACGGGUGAGUACACGUAGGUAAUCUACCUCCAGGUGGUGGAUAACCUUCCGAAAGGAGGGCUAAUACAGCAUGAGACCACGGGCCCGCAAGGGACUGAGGUCAAAGCCGGC
rnacentral:rRNA from 1 species